CCUACGGGCGGGCAGCAGUAGGGAAUCUUCCACAAUGGGCGAAAGCCUGAUGGAGCAACGCCGCGUGGGUGAAGAAGGUCUUCGGAUCGUAAAACCCUGUUGUUAGAGAAGAAAGUGCGUGAGAGUAACUGUUCACGUUUCGACGGUAUCUAACCAGAAAGCCACGGCUAACUACGUGCCAGCAGCCGCGGUAAUACGUAGGUGGCAAGCGUUGUCCGGAUUUAUUGGGCGUAAAGCGAGUGCAGGCGGUUCAAUAAGUCUGAUGUGAAAGCCUUCGGCUCAACCGGAGAAUUGCAUCAGAAACUGUUGAACUUGAGUGCAGAAGAGGAGAGUGGAACUCCAUGUGUAGCGGUGGAAUGCGUAGAUAUAUGGAAGAACACCAGUGGCGAAGGCGGCUCUCUGGACUGCAACUGACGCUGAGGCUCGAAAGCAUGGGUAGCGAACAGGAUUAGAUACCCUAGUAGUC
rnacentral:rRNA from 1 species